UUUUCAGUGUCGCAGCGAAAGCGAUAAACACACCGCCUGGGGAGUACGACCGCAAGGUUAAAACUCAAAUGAAUUGACGGGGACCCGCACAAGUAGUGGAGCAUGUGGUUUAAUUCGAAGAUACGCGCAGAACCUUACCAACACUUGACAUGUUCGUCGCGACUUUAAGAGAUUAAAGUUUUCGGUUCGGCCGGACGAAACACAGGUGCUGCAUGGCUGUCGUCAGCUCGUGUCGUGAGAUGUUGGGUUAAGUCCCGCAACGAGCGCAACCCUCACUUUUAGUUGCCAUCAUUAAGUUGGGCACUCUGAAAGAACUGCCAGUGAUAAGCUGGAGGAAGGUGGGGAUGACGUCAAGUCCUCAUGGCCCUUACGUGUUGGGCUACACACGUGCUACAAUGGUAUCUACAACAGGAAGCAAGACGGCGACGUUAAGCAAAUCCCUAAAAGAUACCUCAGUUCGGAUUGCACUCUGCAACUCGAGUGCAUGAAGCUGGAAUUACUAGUAAUCGUGGAUCAGCGUGCCACGGUGAAUGCGUUCCCGGGUCUUGUACACACCGCCCGUCACACCAUGGGAGUUGGUUCUACCUUAAGGCAAGGUUUCAAACCCUUGACCACGGUAUAGUCAGCGACUGGGGUGAAGUCGUAACAAGGUAGCCGUAGGGGAACCUGCGGCUGGAUUACCUCCUU
rnacentral:rRNA from 1 species